GACGAACGCUGGCGGCGUGCCUAAUACAUGCAAGUAGAACGAGUGGCGAACGGGUGAGUAACGCGUGGUAACCUGCCGCAUAGCGGGGGAUAACUAUUGGAAACGUUAGCUAAUACCGCAUACUGUGAGAUGGACGUGCGUUGUAUUAGCUAGUAGGUGGGGUAACGGCUCACCUAGGCGACGAUCCCUAGCUGGUCUGAGAGGAUGACCAGCCACACUGGAACUGAGACACGGUCCAGACUCCUACGGGAGGCAGCAGUGGGGAAUAUUGCACAAUGGGCGCAAGCCUGAUGCAGCCAUGCCGCGUGUAUGAAGAAGGCCUUCGGGUUGUAAAGUACUUUCAGCGAGGAGGCGUUACUCGCAGAAGAAGCACCGGCUAACUCCGUGCCAGCAGCCGCGGUAAUAC
rnacentral:rRNA from 1 species